rnacentral:rRNA from 1 species
CUUGCAGGGUACUCGAGUGGCGAACGGGUGAGUAACACGUGGGUGAUCUGCCCUGCACUUCGGGAUAAGCUUGGGAAACUGGGUCUAAUACCGGAUAGGAGCCAUCUUUAGUGUGGUGGUUGGAAAGUUUUUUCGGUGUAGGAUGAGCUCGCGGCCUAUCAGCUUGUUGGUGGGGUAAUGGCCUACCAAGGCGGCGACGGGUAGCCGGCCUGAGAGGGUGUACGGCCACAUUGGGACUGAGAUACGGCCCAGACUCCUACGGGAGGCAGCAGUGGGGAAUAUUGCACAAUGGGCGCAAGCCUGAUGCAGCGACGCCGCGUGGGGGAUGAAGGCCUUCGGGUUGUAAACUCCUUUCGCUAGGGACGAAGCUUUUUUGUGACGGUACCUAGAUAAGAAGCACCGGCUAACUA